GACGAACGCUGGCGGCGUGCUUAACACAUGCAAGUCGAACGGAAAGGCCCUGCUUUUGUGGGGUGCUCGGGUGGCGAACGGGUGAGACACGCGUGAGUAACCUGCCCUUUACUUUGGGAUAACUUCAGGAAACUUGGGAUAAUACCGGAUAGGAGCUCCUGCUGCAUGGUGGGGUUUGGAAAGUUUAGGCGGGUGGGGAUGGAGUCGCGGCUUAUCAGCUUGUUGGUGGGGUAGUGGCUUACCAAGGCUUUGACGGGUAGCCGGCCUGAGAGGGUGAACGGCCACAUGGGGACGGAGAUACGGCCCAGACUCCUACGGGAGGCAGGAGUGAGGAAUAUUGCACAAUGGGCGGAAGCCUGAUGCGGGAACGCCGCGUGCGGGAUGACGGCCUUCGGGUGGUAAACCGCUUGCGACUGUGAUGAAGCGUGAGUGACGGUAAUGGGUAAAGAAGCACCGGCUAACUACGUG
rnacentral:rRNA from 1 species